GACCUUGUGGCGCAAUGGUAGCGCACAUCUGACUUUCAGAUCAGAAGGCUGUGUGUUCAAACCACGUCAAGGUCA